GUGGCAACAAGUGCUGAGAUCAGCGG
rnacentral:piRNA from 1 species